GUGCAAAGGUAGCAUAAUCAUUAGUUUUUUAAUUGAAAGCUUGUAUGAAUGAUUGAACAAGAAAAAUACUGUUUCUAUAGUAAGGUUUGAAUUUAACUUUUAAGUUAGAAGGCUUAAAUAUUCUGGGGGGACGAUAAGACCCUAUAAAUCUUUAUAUAUUUAGAAUUCUAAUAGAAAUAGUAUGUAAUUUUGGUAUUUUGUAAAAUAUUUGAUUGGGGCGAUAUAGUUAUAACUUUUAGUAACUAGUUAUAAGUUUAUACAGAUUAUUUGAAUAAAAUAAAAGAUCCUUGUUAAAGAUUAUUAGAUUAAGUUACUUUAGGGAUAACAGCGUAAUUUCUUUUAAUAGUUCAUAUUGAAAAAGAAGCUUGCGACCUCGAUGUUUAAUUAAAAUUUCUUUUUAGUGCAGCAGCUAAAGAAGAGGGUCUGU
rnacentral:rRNA from 1 species